rnacentral:ncRNA from 1 species
AUAAAAGCUAUGAAAAGAAAUAGUAGCAAUCAUGUAAACAUAACAGAAAGUUACCGGUUGAUGAGAGGUGCAUGUUGAACGAUAGCGAAUUCAUCUUGGAGCUGUGUACUGAAUAGGGAAUCCUUAGUAGGCUACACCGGUCAAGCACCCGUCAUCUUGUGCUAAAGUAUCGUCAUUUGACUGUACUUGCUAAGGUAAGUAAUGGAAGUUGCUUAUGAAUAUAAGGUGGUAACACGAGUUGAAUCGUCCUUUUG